rnacentral:rRNA from 1 species
CCUACGGGAGGCAGCAGUGAGGAAUAUUGGGCAAUGGAGGGAACUCUGACCCAGCCAUGCCGCGUGAGUGAGAAGGUCUUCGGAUUGUAAAGCUCUUUCGGAUGGGACGAUGAUGACGGUACCAUCUAAAGAAGCCCCGGCAAACUUCGUGCCAGCAGCCGCGGUAAU